GAUGAAGAACGUAGCGAAAUGCGAUACGUAAUGUGAAUUGCAGAAUUCAGUGAAUCAUCGAAUCUUUGAACGCAUAUUGCGCUCUCUGGUAUUCCGGAGAGCAUGCUUGUUUGAGUAUCAGUAAACACCUCAACUCCCUUUUCUUUUUUGAAAUUGGAGCUGGACUUGAGUGAUCCCAACGCUUUCUUCCAAGAAAGUGGCGGGUUGCUUGAAAUGCAGGUGCAGCUGAACUUUUCUCUGAGCUAUAAGCAUAUCUAUUUAGUCUGCCUCAAAACAGAUUAUUACCUUUGCUGCAGCUAACAUAAAGGAGAUUAGUUCUUGUGCUGACUGAUGCAGGAUUCACAAAGACCGCUUCGGCUGUCUUUGUAAACUCGAUCUCAAAUCAAGUAAGACUACCCGCUGAACUUAAGCAUAUCAAUAAGCGGAGGA
rnacentral:misc_RNA from 1 species